rnacentral:ncRNA from 1 species
GGACCCCAGCUUAGGUGAGAACACCCGUUGAGUUUAAGCAUCUAUUUAAGUGGAGGCAAAGAAACUUCCAAGGAUUCCCCUGCGAAUGGCGAGCGAACUGGGAAGAGCCCAACAGUAAAAGUGGGUGGCAGCGGCGCCUGAAUUGUAGUCUGUAGAAGCAUCCUUAGUAGUGGACUGGGCCCAAGUCCCCCGGAAUGGGGCGCCUAAGAGGGUGAUAGACCUGUCUGGCUAGGACCUUGCCACACCACGAGGCGUUUUCGACGAGUAGGGUUGUUUGGGAAUGCAACCCUAAUCGGGUGGUAAAUUCUGUCCAAGGCUAAAUAUGGGUGAGAUACCUAUAGAGAACAAGUACCGUGAGGGGACGAUGAAAAGGAAUUUGAAAAGAGAGUUAAAGAGUGCUUGAAAUUGUCGGGAGGGAAGCAGAUGGAGGCUGGCGAUGCAUCUCAGUCAGAUGCAGAAUGACUCAAGAUGGUCCACUGCUCGACUCGAGGUGUGAGCUAGGAUAGGCUGUUGCAUCGACACAAGCACGGGUGGAGUACUGCCUAUUGGUUUGUCAUUGUGGCGGUCGAGGAAUGAAGCGUGCACCCUUGGGGCGGGCCACUGUGCACCUGCACACUCGUGGUGUUGGUUGGCGGGCUUUCCAUUCGACCUGUCUUGAAACACAGACCAAGGAUUCUAACAUGUGUGCGAUUUGGUGGGUUUGUAAACCUGUGAGGCGCAAGGAAGCUGACGGGCGAGAACCCCUCUCCAUCCGGUGCAUUGCUGACCGACCUUGAGAUUUUGUGAAGGGUUUGAGUGUGAGCACACCUGUUGGGACCUGAAAGAUGGUGAACUAUGCCUGAGUAGGGUGAAGCCAGAGGAAACUCUGGUGGAGGCCCGUAGUGAUACUGACGUGCAAAUCAUUCGUCUGACUUGGGUAUAGGGGAAAAACACUAAUCGAACCAUCUAGUAACUGGUUUCCUCCGAUGUUUCCCUCAGGAUAGAUGGAUCUCAUGUGUGAGUUUUAUUGGGUAAAGAAAAUGAUUAGAGGCAUUGGGGGCGUAACGCCCUCGACCUAUUCUCAAACUUUAAAUCGGUAAGAUGGUGCAGUUGCUCCAUUGAGCCAUGCCACGGAAUCGAGAGCUCCAAGUGGGCCAUUUUUGGUAAGCAGAACUGGCGAUGUGGGAUGAAUCUAAAGUCGAGUUACCGUUCCAAACUGCACACUAACCCAGAUCCCACAAAGGGUGUUGGUUGAUUAAGACAACAGGAUGGUGGUCAUGGAAGUCGAAAUCCACUAAGGAGUGUGUAACAACUCACCUGUCGAAUCAACUAGCCCCGAAAAUGGAUGGUGCUAAAGUGCGCGACCUAUACUCAACCAUCGUAGAAAUUGCUAAGAUUCGAUGAGUAGGAGGACACGAAGGUCAUUGAGAAACCUUGGGCGUGAGCCUGGGUGGACCGGUCCCCGGUGCAGAUCUUGGUGGUAGUAGAAAAUAUUCAAAUGAGAACUUUGAAGACUAAAGUGGGGAAAGGUU